UGCGAUAUGGUGUAAGGGUAGCACGGAAGCCUCAUAAGCUUCAGGAUCGGGUUCAACUCCUGAUAUCGCCU
rnacentral:tRNA from 1 species